rnacentral:rRNA from 1 species
AUUGAACGCUGGCGGCAUGCCUUACACAUGCAAGUCGAACGGUAACGCGGGGCAACCUGGCGACGAGUGGCGAACGGGUGAGUAAUGCAUCGGAACGUGCCCAGUAGUGGGGGAUAGCCCGGCGAAAGCCGGAUUAAUACCGCAUACGACCUACGGGUGAAAGGGGGGGAUCGCAAGACCUCUCGCUAUUGGAGCGGCCGAUGUCAGAUUAGGUAGUUGGUGGGGUAAAGGCCUACCAAGCCUACGAUCUGUAGCUGGUCUGAGAGGACGAACAGCAACACUGGGACUGAGACGCGGCCCAGACGCCUACGGGAGGCAGCAGUGGGGAAUUUUGGACAAUGGGCGCAAGCCUGAUCCAGCCAUGCCGCGUGCGGGAAGAAGGCCUUCGGGUUGUAAACCGCUUUUGUCGGGGAAGAAAUCUUCUGAGUUAAUACCUCGGGAGGAUGACGGUACCCGAAGAAUAAGCACCGGCUAACUACGUGCCAGCCGCCGCCGUAA